GACGAACGCUGGCGGCGUGCUUAACACAUGCAAGUCGAACGAUGAAGCUGGAGCUUGCUCCGGUGGAUUAGUGGCGAACGGGUGAGUAACACGUGAGCAAUCUGCACUUCACUCUGGGAUAACUGCGGGAAACUGUAGCUCAUACCGGAUACGAGACCUUGGGGCAUCCCAGGGACUGGAAAGAAUGUGGGUGAAGGAUGAGCUCGCGGCCUAUCAGCUAGUUGGUGAGGUAAUGGCUCACCAAGGCGACGACGGGUAGACGGCCUGAGAGGGGAACCGGCCACACUGGGACAGAGACACGGCCCAGACUCCUACGGGAGGGAGCAGAGGGGAAGAUUGCACAAAGGGGGAAAGCCUGAUGCAGCAACGCCGCGUGAGGGGUGAGAGCCUUCGGGUUGUAAACCUCUUUUAGUAGGGAAGAAGCGCAAGUGACGGUACCUACAGAAAAAGCACCGGCUAACUACGUGCCAGCCGCCGCGGUAA
rnacentral:rRNA from 1 species